UACAGAGGUCCCAAGCGUUGUUCGGAUUCACUGGGCGUAAAGGGUGCGUAGGUGGCGAGGUAAGUCGGAUGUGAAAUCUCCGAGCUCAACUCGGAAAUGGCAUUGGAAACUACCUUGCUCGAGGGUCGGAGGGGGGACUGGAAUACUUGGUGUAGCAGUGAAAUGCGUAGGUAUCAAGUGGAACACCAGUGGCGAAGGCGAGUCCCUGGACGACUCCUGACACUGAGGCACGAAAGCUAGGGGAGCAAACAGG
rnacentral:rRNA from 1 species